rnacentral:rRNA from 1 species
UACGUAGGGGGCAAGCGUUAUCCGGAUUUACUGGGUGUAAAGGGGGCGCAGACGGCGAUGCAAGCCAGGAGUGAAAGCCCGGGGCCCAACCCCGGGACUGCUCUUGGAACUGCGUGGCUGGAGUGCAGGAGGGGCGGGCGGAAUUCCUAGUGUAGCGGUGAAAUGCGUAGAUAUUAGGAGGAACACCAGUGGCGAAGGCGGCCUACUGGACGGUGACUGACGCUGAGGCUCGAAAGCGUGGGGAGCAAACAGG